GAUGAGGUGGCCGAGUGGUUAAGGCGAUGCACUGCUAUUCCAUUGUGCUCUGCAUGCAUGUGUUCGAAUCCUGUUCUCAUCG